CUUCAAGAUUACAGUAAUGCCAGAUCUGAUGUAAAAUCCAUCGGAUGACCUAUCUGCUUCUUGUAUUCCCUGCAAAUCAUCACAUUAGUGGAAAUGAGAUAAGCAAAAGAAGAAUUGGAAAAGAAGAAGGUAGGAAGAAAUGAAGGAAGGAAUGAGGAAACUUCACAAAUGAGAACUGUUUCUAAGGUUUCUCCUUGAUGUAUAUAUUGGUUUUGCCGCGUCGUAGAAACUAAAUGCCCCAGGCUAAAAGGUGUAGACCUUCCUCCUUGGAAAGUCCUAAAAUAGUUGUGUCUACUGCCUAAGGAUGCCCCGAGGUCGUCUCCUUUAGGUUUUUCACUGAAUGAGAUAACUCUUCCUUUGUCAUCUAUCUUCAUAAGCCCAAAAUCUGAGGCACGUCUACCAUGAAAUGCUUAUAUCCGCGCCACUCUGCCGAUGAUCCUGCAGAUUGAAGUUCAUGGCAUGAGUCUCGGAGAGUAACUACCUCUUGAUGAAGGACAUGAGCUCAAGUAAUUUUGUCUCACCUGUAUAAAAUCCAUGUAAUCCAUCCUGUAGAGGUGAUCUCCAGAAAGGAUCAAUACAUCCUCUAUGUCCUUGCUUCUUGCAUCCUAUGAAAAGAAUGUUGGACCGCUUGUCUAUUGAUGUGAUGAUAAGCUAGUUUAAGUCUGAUUUCUACCUCGAAAAGCCAAUGGAAUUGCCGAACCGCAUCUGCUGUACCUUGGAACCACCUUUUACCAGAUUCUCCUGGCGUUUGAGUGGCCGCAAGAACCUGAAUUUUUUCAAACAAUUGCCUCAGAUGCAUCAAACCAGUUUGGCUCGUAAUGGAUGAUUAAGACAGAAUAUCAAACCUCAACAUAGCCAUCUCCAAAGCCAAGUCCAUUGGAGUUGUAAGCACGGGCUAAAUGCCUGUUCAAUGAUGCUGAGUUAUAUUGUGUUAUUCAGCAAUAUUGGAAAUUUUGCAACAGAGAAGCAACUAACGGCAGGCUUGGCGCGGCGUUUU
rnacentral:lncRNA from 1 species